AUUUAUUGACUGACAACAUUCCAUUUUAUUGACUGACAACAUUCCAUUUUAUUGACUGACAACAUUUUACUUAUUGACUGACAACAUUUCAUUUAUUGACUGACAGUAUUUCCUUUAUUCACUGACAACAUUUUAUUUAUUGACUGACAACAUUUCAUUUAUUGACUGACAACAUUUCAUAUAUCGACUGACAACAUCUUAUUUAUUGAAUAACAACAUUUCAUUUAUUCAAUGACAAUAUUUCACUUAUUGACUGACUACAUUUCA